UGAACAGGCUGUUUAAAGCCCUGCAGAAGAUAUAGUCACAGAGCUAUACACAGGAUGGCUCAACUGUGCUGCAACAUUAUUCUGGUGAAGAUCAUGGACCAGGGAGAAGCGCAUAAGGUGCUGUAAGGUCUGCAAAUGUGACAUACCGGUGUAUCUGUGCAUUCUGGUAGCCAGCUGUGACCUGCUAGGAAGACAGAAACAUGAAAAAUGGCAGAAAUAAGAAACAGUUAAAAGGAGAGCACUUGUUUAAAGAAGAUGCUAAUAAGUGAUGGCUUGCUGGGAAGACAAUGACACCAUAUGGUAAAGAAAACCUGCAGACUCCCAAGGGAGUACUUCUGCUCCUAGCCCAGCCCUCUCUAGCAGCCCUGCUGGAUACAGAAGAGUUGAGUUCCCCAUCAUCUCAGCUGGUGUCCUUAGUGUGGGUCCUGACAGUCUACUCUCCACACCCAAUCUCAUCUGUGGGCAAGAAGAGCCACAGAAGGACCAAGAAGAUAUCAUGCCAUGGCUCUCCAUUCUCAACCAGAUCCAGACCAUGCCUCUCAGGAGGGACACGUGGCCAGGUCCAUGCCAUCCCCCAUCCUGGUGCUCCUCAUGCAUGGUCCCAGCUCUGCAAUCAGUGUGGGACCACUCAGUGUCCUUGCCUUGGGGCUGACUUCUAGGUUUUUCAUUUCUGUGAUGGCCUCAGGAGAAGUUAGUGGUGCUGAGACAAACAAACAAACUGAACCUUCCUGGUCCCCUCCAAGUCUGAGAUAAGUAAAAUGAGUGUCAAGUGAGUAAUAAACUUGGGACUCAUUAGACA
rnacentral:lncRNA from 1 species